CGAAGCGCGUGUUUGACCACGACAUUGUAGAAGCUGACGCCUUUUAGCCGCGCGGUUCUGAUAUAUUGUGCUGUCAUCACCUCGGUCAUCGAGGCGCGGGUCAUUCUGGAUAUGUAGCCCAUACCAUAGAGAGAGAUGGUCAGGACAGGCAGAAAGAAGUUCUCAAAGGUAGG
rnacentral:ncRNA from 1 species